rnacentral:rRNA from 1 species
GACGAACGCUGGCGGCGUGCUUAACACAUGCAAGUCGAACGGAAAGGCCCUGCUUUUGUGGGGUGCUCGAGUGGCGAACGGGUGAGUAACACGUGAGUAACCUGCCCUUGACUUUGGGAUAACUUCAGGAAACUGGGGCUAAUACCGGAUAGGAGCUCCUGCUGCAUGGUGGGGGUUGGAAAGUUUCGGCGGUUGGGGAUGGACUCGCGGCUUAUCAGCUUGUUGGUGGGGUAGGGGCUUACCAAGGCUUUGACGGGUAGCCGGCCUGGGAGGGUGACCGGCCACCUUGGGACUGCGAUACGGCCCAGACUCCUACGGGAGGCAGCAGUGGGGAAUAUUGCACAAUGGGCGGAAGCCUGAUGCAGCAACGCCGCGUGCGGGAUGACGGCCUUCGGGUUGUAAACCGCUUUCGCCUGUGACGAAGCGUGAGUGACGGUAAUGGGUAAAGAAGCACCGGCUAACUACGUG